AAGCCAUUUGUGCAUGUGGAUUUACUCAAGUUCUAUGACACCGAUCACGGUCGACGAUCACUAAAUAUUCUCAAAGACUUCUGUGGUGUGUGAUGAUAAUUAUAAAUUUCUGCUGCAUAUCAUUAAGACGAUGGAUAUAUAGGAACUGCGUCGAUCGUACUAUGGUUAUUAAUUAGUAUAAUGUUUGUUAAUUUCAUGCAAAACGUUUAGCUGGGCUUCGUCUUUUACCACUGCUUUACUUGCGUACCUGUGGACGUUUGGGACUUGUAAUCUCUCUCUUUAUUUCUCGAUCCUUGUUUUAAUUUGUUGUUUGUGAAUAAGAGCCAAAUGCUA
rnacentral:lncRNA from 1 species